rnacentral:rRNA from 1 species
CCUACGGGUGGCAGCAGUGGGGGAUAUUGCACAAUGGACGGAAGUCUGAUGCAGCGACGCCGCGUGAGUGAAGGAGGGUUUCGGCGCGUAAAGCUCUAUUGUCAGGGAAGAAGAUGACUGUACCUGGCCAAUAAGCCCCGUCUAACUACGGUACAGCACCGGCGGGAAUACGUAGGGGACAAGCGUGAUCCGGAUUUACUGGGUGUAAAGGGGGCGCAGACGACAAUGCAAGCCAGGAGGGAAAGCCCGGGGCCCAACCCCGGGACUGCUGUUGGAACUGGCUGGCUGGAGUACAGGAGGGGAGGGCGGAAGUCCUAGUGUAGCGGUGAAAUGCGUAGAUAUUAGGAGGAACACCGGUGGCGAAGGCGG